rnacentral:rRNA from 1 species
CACGUAGUUAGCCGUGGCUUUCUCAUAAGGUACCGUCAAUUGAUAGUCAUUUCCUCCUAUCACCUUUCUUCCCUUAUAACGGAAUUUUACAACCCGAAGGCCUUCUUCAUUCACGCGGCGUUGCUCGGUCAGGCUUUCGCCCAUUGCCGAAGAUUCCCUACUGCUGCCUCCCGUAGGAGUCUGGGCCGUGUCUCAGUCCCAGUGUGGCCGUUCACCCUCUCAGGUCGGCUACGCAUCGUCGCCUUGGUAGGCCUUUACCCCACCAACUAGCUAAUGCGCCGCAGGCUCAUCCAUCAGUGAUGCCAGGAGCAUCUUUAAACUUUCGUCCUAUCCGGUAUUAGCGAUCGUUUCCAAUCGUUGUCCCCGUCUGAUGGGCAGAUCACCUACGUGUUACUCACCCGUUCGCCGCUUCCCACCGAAGUGGUUCGCUCGACUUGCAUGUAUUAGGCACGCCGCCAGCGUUCAUCCUGAGCCAGGAUCAAACUCU